rnacentral:rRNA from 1 species
GAGCAAGAGCCCGGAGAUGGAUUCUGAGACAUGAAUCCAGGCCCUACGGGGCGCAGCAGGCGCGAAAACUUUACAAUGCGGGAAACCGUGAUAAGGGAACCCCGAGUGCCCGUAGAAUCGGGCUGUUGAUCUGUGUAAAAAGCAGGUAAAGAAAGGGCCGGGCAAGACCGGUGCCAGCCGCCGCGGUAAUACCGGCGGCUCGAGUGGUGGCCACUAUUACUGGGCUUAAAGCGUUCGUAGCUGGGUUGUUAAGUCUCUUGGGAAAUCCACCGGCCCAACCGAUGGGCGACCAGGGGAAACUGGCAUUCUAGGGACCGGGAGAGGUGAGAGGUACUCCAGGGGUAGGAGUGAAAUCCUGUAAUCCUUGGGGGACCACCGAUGGCGAAGGCAUCUCACCAGAACGGCUCCGACAGUGAGGAACGAAAGCUGGGGGAGCAAACCGGAUUAGAUACCCGGGUAGUCCCAGCUGUAAACGAUGCGCGUUAGGUGUAUCGGUGACCACGAGUUACCGAGGUGCCGAAGGGAAACCGUGAAACGCGC